GGUCGAGUGGUGGAAUUGGUAGACACGCAGCAUUAAGGAUGCUGUGCCGAAAGGCGUGCGGGUUCAAGUCCCGCCUUGACCACCA
rnacentral:tRNA from 1 species